rnacentral:misc_RNA from 1 species
GAUGAAGAACGUAGCGAAAUGCGAUACUUGGUGUGAAUUGCAGAAUCCCGUGAACCAUCGAGUCUUUGAACGCAAGUUGCGCCUCUAGCCAUUAGGUUGAGGGCACGUCUGCCUGGGCGUCACAUAUCGUUGCCUGAUGCCAGUUUCCUCGCGAUGGGUGACUGUGCAGGGCGAAUGAUGGCUUCCCGUGAGCAUUGUUGCCUCAUGGUUGGUUGAAAAUUGAGUCCUUGGUAGGGAGCGCCGUGAUAGAUGGUGGUUGAGUGACGAACGAGACCCAAUCAUGUGAGACCCCUACCGAAUUUGGCCUUCAUGACCCACAUGCGUCUUUGGAACGCUCAUGACGAGACCUCAGGUCAGGCGGGGCUACCCGCUGAGUUUAAGCAUAUCAAUAAGCGGAGGA